rnacentral:tRNA from 1 species
GGAGGGAUGCCUGAGUGGUCGAAAGGGGAGCACUCGAAAUGCUUUAUUCCAUUUAUUUGGAAUCGGGGGUUCGAAUCCCUCUCCCUCCG